GGCAGUGGUAGCUCAGUGGUUGAGGGGUUGGACUACUGAUCGGAAGGUCGUGAGUUCAAGUCCUGGCACUGCCA